rnacentral:rRNA from 1 species
ACGGAAGGUCCGGGCGUUAUCCGGAUUUAUUGGGUUUAAAGGGAGCGUAGGCCGUCUGGUAAGCGUGUUGUGAAAUGUCGGGGCUCAACCUGGGCAUUGCAGCGCGAACUGUCAGACUUGAGUGCGCGGGAAGUAGGCGGAAUUCGUCGUGUAGCGGUGAAAUGCUUAGAUAUGACGAAGAACUCCGAUUGCGAAGGCAGCCUGCUGUAGCGCAACUGACGCUGAAGCUCGAAAGCGUGGGUAUCGAACAG